rnacentral:rRNA from 1 species
CAGUCGCCGCGGUAAUACGUAGGUGGCAAGCGUUAUCCGGAAUUAUUGGGCGUAAAGCGCGCGUAGGCGGUUUUUUAAGUCUGAUGUGAAAGCCCACGGCUCAACCGUGGAGGGUCAUUGGAAACUGGAAAACUUGAGUGCAGAAGAGGAAAGUGGAAUUCCAUGUGUAGCGGUGAAAUGCGCAGAGAUAUGGAGGAACACCAGUGGCGAAGGCGACUUUCUGGUCUGUAACUGACGCUGAUGUGCGAAAGCGUGGGGAUCAAACAGGAUUAGAGACCCCUGUAGUCCCUGUCUCUUAUAC